CUUCCGCCGGCGACCGGCGCACGGGUGAGUAACACGUAUGCAACCUGCCCCUGUCAGGGGGACAACCCGCCGAAAGGCGGGCUAAACCCGCGUACAUGCCACCGGGGCAUCCCGGAGGCAGGAAAGGCUUCGGCCGGACAGGGAUGGGCAUGCGGCGCAUUAGGCAGUAGGCGGGGUAACGGCCCACCGAGGCGACGAUGCGUAGGGGUUCUGAGAGGAAGGCCCCCCACACUGGUACUGAGACACGGACCAGACUCCUACGGAAGGCAGCAG
rnacentral:rRNA from 1 species